UAUAACCGAAUUUUCUGAAAAAAACCUUUCUAGCACUUCUUCAUACACUGGAAAAUGGAUGAAAUCAGAUGAUAACCACACCCACUUCCGAUAUAAUUGGUUUAUGUCUGAUCAGGAAGCUUGGCAUGAGUUAUGUGGACUUUAUUUGGCGGAAGGGGACUACUCUAAAGCGGUUUUCUGUAUGGAAGAACUUUUACUACACAAUCCACACAGUCAUCUAAUUCAUCAGAGAAUUGCGGAAAUCCGCUAUACAAUGGUAAUUAUAUGUUUAUGUUAGUCGAAAUAUAUGUACGUAUAUAUACAGUGCCUAACGGAA